AUUGAACGCUGGCGGCAGGCCUAACACAUGCCAGUCGAACGGUAACAGGAAACAGCUUGCUGUUUCGCUGACGAGUGGCGGACGGGUGAGUAAUGUCUGGGAAACUGCCUGAUGGAGGGGGAUAACUACUGGAAACGGUAGCUAAUACCGCAUAACGUCGCAAGACCAAAGAGGGGGACCCUCGGGCCUCUUGCCAUCGGAUGUGCCCAGAUGGGAUUAGCUUGUUGGUGGGGUAACGGCUCACCAAGGCGACGAUCCCUAGCUGGUCUGAGAGGAUGACCAGCCACACUGGAACUGAGACACGGUCCAGACUCCUACGGGAGGCAGCAGCGGGGAAUAUUGCACAAUGGGCGCAAGCCUGAUGCAGCCAUGCCGCGUGUAUGAAGAAGGCCUUCGGGUUGUAAAGUACUUUCAGCGGGGAGGAAGGGAGUAAAGUUAAUACCUUUGCUCAUUGACGUUACCCGCAGAAGAAGCACCGGCUAACUCCGUG
rnacentral:rRNA from 1 species